AUGGUUUCUGCUACUCUGAGAUGGCCUUAUCCUUAUUUAACUCACGAUUCUAUUUCUAGGGAAACAUCUACUACCUUGAUCUCUCGUCUGCAAAAGAAUGACACUACAGUGAUCUUCAAUGUUUUGGUAAAGAGAGGGUCCUCUGAAUCCUUUCAAGGCUCACAGCUAAUGUGUGGGAGGGAAGAGGAGUGCGCCAUGGACUCUGAAAUGACAAAGGAGAUAAUCUUUCAUUUCCAUCUGAAAUGUCAAGGGAGGAGGUUGGAGUGUUUGGGCCUGAAAAUACAUAACAAGAAAUAAAAGCUGCUACUCUUGGUUGACUGGAAAGAUGAAAGCCAACAUUAAAAAGGUGGACUUUUUUUUGCUUGUCUUCAAACAAACCUUUAUUGACUUGAAAGAGAGGAGGCAGAUAGGUUCAAAGUGGAAAACAAGAAAUGAUCCAGAAUGGUUUUUCCAGGCUGCAAUUGCCACAGCAUUUUCUGUUCGGGGCAAAUAUUGUAAUAUUGAAUCAUGAGUUUGUCAUUGAUCCUUAAUGAAUGAUAAGCACAGACUCACUGAUUUGAGGAGCAUUUAAUUAAUGUAACUUGUAGGAAAUCAGAGGGAAUAUUUAUUAAAGACGUAUAAGGAGCUAUCUCACAUGGGUUUGUUUUGACUGUUGAACGUAAGUAAAUAAAUCAUAGUGAGAUUUCUCA
rnacentral:lncRNA from 1 species